AUGGAGGAGGACGCCCCGCCUAAGAAGUCAGUGGCGGAGCUGGCUGGAAAGUUCAAAGCUCAUGCCCCUCCCUUCCCCACGGGAACUGACGGGAGUAAUAAGCCUGUUAGGAGACGCCCCCCUCGAACCCUACAUCUCCCCAAGACCACAGCACAGGGACAGGUGGACGAGGAGAAACCCAUCUCCCCGUCUCUGCAUCCUGCCAAAACCAAAAGGAACUCUGCUCUUAUUGAGAAACUGCAGGGAAGAGCCCGCCUCUCCAUCCGGCGACGCCCACCUUCGAGACGCCACAGGAAGUCCAGCGGAGAGGAAGGAGACGGGGUGACGGGUGAAGAGAUGCCCCUAACUACACCCGACGACCCUGAGGCCAAAGUUGGGGAGGAAGAGAAAGGAGAGGGGGAGGAGGUGUUUGAGAAGGAAGUGGAAGAGAAGGAUGGUGAAAGAGCAGACACCACUAUGUAUACCAAAGAAAAGAUAGAGACAGGCUCCUCUACCCCUGCUAACUCACAGCAACAGAUUGCCACAACAGACAGAUCAACUACAGACCCUGACCCACUGGAAAAGACAAAGUCAGAAAAAACGCUGGAGAGACAGACAGGAGAGGAGAGACAGGAGGACAGGCAGACAGCAGAGGAGAGACCGACAGGAGAGGAGGCAACAGGGUCUAGAGGAGAAGAGGUGAAAGAUUGUGGUCAGGGGUGUGGAGGAGAAGAAAAGGAGAAGGGGAGGGAGACUUGUUCAGUGGAGGAGUCAUCUACAGAGAGAGAGAAAGAAGAGGGGGAAGAGCUGGCCUGCAAAGAAAAGGAGGGAGAGAGAGAUACAGACUGCAACGAAGAGAAGGAGAACACCAAGCUCUGAUGGGCCGUAACCGCACCAUGCCCCUGCCUUACAGAGUGGGAGAGCCCCAUAGUGUGCACUAACUCCCCUCAUCCCAUAGCACAUAGUGUAGUGGAAAAGGCGAGACUAGUAUGGACUGCAGACUAUGCCACUGGAUGGACUCCCUUUAGUCCUCUGCAUCUGGAAGGUCCUACACUCUGGUUCCAUCCCAAAUGGCACACUAUGCCCAAUAUAGUGCAGUACGUUUGACCAGGUUCAAUAGGCCUCUGGUCUAAAGUAGUGCACUAUAUAGGGAAUAGGGUGUCAUUUGGGACAUAACUAUGCACAUUUUUGGACAUGUUUCUUGUAAAUUCUUAUUUGGUGUCAGCCUGUGACUUUGUUAUCUUUGGGCAGAUUAAUGCAAGGGAUUUGCCUGUACAGCUUUCCCCAAAACAUUUUAUGACAAGACCUGGUAAAUUAUAACAUUUUCCACAAAAUACACAACAUGCAGAUUAGUAAAAACAACAGAUUUCUAGAAAACGUUAGGCUAUUUGAUUUAAACUGGUGUUGAGAACAACGCUGCGGAGGCGGGCGGCAGCUGUGUAGUGCUAGGGCAAAAAACAUGCACCCAGGGGGGGCCCCACCGAGUUUGGGAAUCCCUGGUCUAGAUAAAUCAAUUAGAUAAAUCAAUUAAUGUCCCAUUUUUGUUUUUUGUUUUCACUUCAUCUCUGUUUUGAUAUUUUGUUACAAUUAGGCUGGGGAAAUGUUAGCUAAGUUGAAGUGAGUGCUAAUGAUCAUCUUUAGUCUAGUUUGCUCACAUAUUAACUGAUCAGAACAUUUCGCUAGCAUUUUAUACAAGUGAAUUUUGUGACUUGUGACUUGUCUGAUAAUCAAUCAAUGUGAUUUUGUUUCACUGAAUCUCUGUCUGUAUAUUUGGUUAAUUGAUCUCUGGCUGGACAAGUGGAAGUGGUAGAUCAUCUAUUCGUUUGCUCAUCUAUCCCUGAUUAGAAACAUUUAGCAUGCAAUAAUGUAAAUCAAGAUGAUUAUUUAUCUAUGGACUCACGUACUGUAGUAGCCUUAUAUAGAGCCGAGGCAAUUUUCACAUUGUCCCAAUCCCACUGAAAUCAAAAAUCCUGACUCCUGUCUUGCAUGAACAUUCCAAACUUUAUUCUGUAAUCCUGUAGUCUAAUAAUGUAGUCUGGUAUUGCUGCCGAUGUGAGAGCUUCAGUAGAGAAUGUGUGAUCAACAAAUGGUAGGCCGAUGAGGGUAGAUAUGGAAAUAUUUUUUAAACUGUUGGUCUCCGUUAAGAUACCUUGAUAUUUAAACACUUUCCUCUCUUCAUCUCGCUGUUGUUCAUGGGCUGAUCUGCUAUCUGUAUAAUCAUCAACUAGAUUUAGCCAAAUAGUCAUUAAUUGGAGGUAAUCUAGCAAAUUUAGCAACUUUGGACUUUUGUUGGGGCUCCCGAGUGGUACAGUGGUCUAAGUCACUCCAUCUCAGUGCAAGAGAUGGACCUGGUUUGAAUCCAGGCUGUAUCACAUCUGGCUGUGAUUGGGAGUCCCAUAGGGCGGUGCACAAUUGGCCCAGCAUUGUUCGGGGUAGGCUGUCAUUGUAAAUAAGAUUUUGUUCUUAAACUGACUUGCCUAGUUCAAUAAAGGUUCAAUUUGAACAAAAAAUAUUAAAAAAUGACCGCCGUUUACAAACUUUGUGUGAUUCGACAACGCUAAAGCCUACUCUGGGUGCACUCUGUGUGUCCUGAGCGCGCUCUGUGUCUUAUUGGACAAGUUCAGGUAGGUCUCUCCCCAUUUCGGUCUGUUUGCUUCUUUUGCAUAAUUUCAAAUGGGUGUUAAAAUCGAAUCAAAUCAAAUGUUAUUUGUCAAAUUAGCCGAAUACAACAGGUGCAGCUAGACCUUAUAAUGAAAUUCUUACUUAUAAGCCCUUGACCAACAAUGCAGUUUUUAGAAAAAUGCCUAAAGAAAAAUAAGAAAUAAAUCAUUAAAGAGCAGCAGUAAAAUAACAAUAGCGAGGCUAUAUACAGGGGGUACCGGGACAAAAUCAAUGUGCAGGGGCACCGGUUAGUUGAAGUAAUUGAGGUAAUAUAUGCAUGUAGGUAGAGUUAUUAAAGUGAUAUAUGCAUAGAUAAUAACAGAGUAGCAGCAGUGUAAAGGGGGGGGGGGGGGGG
rnacentral:lncRNA from 13 species